ACCCAAGAACAGAGAAGCUGACAAGGGAUCCUACUUUUUUAUAAUCCCUGUUGCUGUCCUCUUCCGCACGGCUGGUCAGGCUGGCGAGGCGGGCCUCCCGCGCCUCCCGGCGGGCUCUUGCUGAGGCCCUGUCACGGUCACCGUAAGAAUCGCUGCUGACUCUGCUCUUUCCCAAUGAAAAUGUGGCACACAAGACUGCUGUGUACAAACCAGCCCUGCAGAACUCUACAGCCCUGAACCGGGAUGGUCUGAAGAGUCACAGCUGGGGAACUUCCAUCUGAUGUCUCUAUCCUGCGGAAUUCAGGCAAAUAAAAACUCAGCUGAUUUGAAUGUAUUACUCAUUUCCCCUUUGGAGGUACUGAAGAACAACCAAGUCCUCAAGGGCACACAAAAGAAGGAAGAAGAGCAACAAGGGCCCGAUAAUCUAUAAAAUGAAUAAUAAAUUCUUCAACCACUGAGGAGCCACUCAGUCACUGCUUUGCUGAAGCACUAAACAGUCCCUGGAAACCACUGGUUUGUCAACCAACAGCAUGAUGGCCCAAUGUGUCACCCCCAAAUCUGUCCAGAGUGUGGUGCAACAGCACGUCUGGUUAAACAAAGGGACCGAACAGAUUGGUCUGCAAGCGAUAUGAAGCUAUCUAUGUCCUGUCAUCACAUCCAAGAAAGUUCUCAGAUACGCUGACAGUACAGUCUGGCUAUGUGUACUGUAUGGCCUCCACUCAGAGGCUGAUAUAAAACAUGAACACUUAAAAAAAUCAGAACUACCAAGCAGCCAUCAGGUUUCUGCAUGUGAAAAGUAGAUUCCACAGGCCUCAACGGAUAUCUCCACAGAGGACAGCAUGUAGAGGAAGGUGAUGUGAAGGGCGCUCCACCAGCGCUUGCCAUACCAGUUAUACCAGUUCUUGUCCCUACGGUCAUGCUGGAAGGAGCUGUUUCCCACAGACAGCCACUUAGGAAGCUGAUGAAUGACACUGGUUUCUGCCUCCCAGGAGUAACUAAAAGCAACUAUCACAGUCUGUUGUUUAUCAUUUUUUAAAGGCAUGUUAAGAUUUGUAUUACCAAUUGAUUGUGGGGUGAACUUUCAUUAAAAAAAUGUCUGGGUGAUGAGUGAUCCAGUAGACA